rnacentral:rRNA from 1 species
AUUCGUGGACCGUAGCGAGACGACCGACAGCGAAGGCAUUUGCCAAGAGUGUUUUCAUUAAUCAAGAACGAAAGUCAGAGGUUCGAAGGCGAUUAGAUACCGCUCUAGUUCUGACCGUAAACGAUGCCAACUGUCGAUCCGCUUGUGGAUUUUAUUCAUGAGCGGGGAGAUUUCCGGAAACGAAAGUUUUUCGGUUUCGGGGGAAGUAUGGUUGCAAAGCUGAAACUUAAAGGAAUUGACGGAAGGGCACCACCAGGAGUGGAGCUUGCGGCUUAAUUUGACUCAACACGGGAAAUCUCACCCGGCCAGUACAUUGUAAGGAUUGACAGACUGACAGCUCUUUCAUGAUUCGGUGAAUGGUGGUGCAUGGCCGUUCUUAGUUCGUGGAUUGAUUUGUCUGGUUUAUUCCGAUAACGAACGAGACUUUAACUAUUAAAUAGUGCGCAUGUUGCUUUUGCUGCGUGUGAUCACUUCUUAAAGGAAUUUGUGGUUUUCAACCUCAAGAAAUUGAGCAAUAACAGGUCUGUGAUGCCCUUAGAUGUUCGGGGCCGCACGCGUGCUACAAUGAUGGUAACAGCGUGAUUGUCCUCUUCCGACAGGAAUUGGCAAACAGUUGAGAUAUUAUUAUGGCUGGAAUUGAGUGUUGAAAUU